CUUGGUCACAACUCAAAAUUGGGCACCCAUGCUAUUUCAGUGGGUUCCCAAUGGGUUCAUAUUGAUAAAGUCCGAUGAAAAUGCCCACAUUGGAAAUUAGAGCUGCUUCAGUAAUCCGUUCAAAGUUCGAUGGAGACUUCUCCAACAUUACAGAAAGUCUGAUUAAAUAAUUUGCAGAAUUAAUAUUUUAUAUUGCAUUGUAUGAACG